rnacentral:lncRNA from 1 species
UGCUCAAGCUGCUCAAAGGAGUUUAUGCUCCCCGACUAAAGCUCAAAAUACUAGGCUCGAGCAACCUUCUGAAUAGUUAUGGAGAAAUCGAUACAUAAGAGGGCAUCGGAUGUCCUCUGGAUCAUCAUGAGAGCCUUAUAGCUCUCCAGAUGAUCAAUUGGAUCAGUGGAGCCGUCGUAUGGCUCCAUCUGCGGUAGCUUGAAUUGAGAUGGAAUCGACUCAUUUAGGAUGC